rnacentral:rRNA from 1 species
UACGUAGGGCGCAAGCGUUGUCCGGAAUUAUUGGGCGUAAAGAGCUCGUAGGCGGCCUGUUACGUCUGCUGUGAAAUCCCGGGGCUUAACCCCGGGCGUGCAGUGGAUACGGGCAGGCUGGAGGCAGGCGGAAUUCCGGGUGUAGCGGUGGAAUGCGUAGAGAUCCGGAGGAACACCAGUGGCGAAGGCGGCUUCCUGGUCUGCAACUGACGCUGUGGCGCGAAAGCUAGGGGAGCAAACGGG